GGGCGGAUAGCUCAGUUGGUCAGAGCGCCUCCCUUACAAGGAGGAGGUCGGCGGUUCGAGCCCGUUUCCGCCCACCA
rnacentral:tRNA from 1 species